rnacentral:tRNA from 1 species
UGCCCAUCUGGCGGAAUUGGUAGACGCGCUGGUUUUAGGUACCAGUGACUUCGGUUGUGCGAGUUCAAGUCUCGCGGUGGGCAU